GAUGAACGCUGGCGGCGUGCCUAAUACAUGCAAGUCGAGCGAACGGACGAGAAGCUUGCUUCUCUGAUGUUAGCGGCGGACGGGUGAGUAACACGUGGAUAACCUACCUAUAAGACUGGGAUAACUUCGGGAAACCGGAGCUAAUACCGGAUAAUAUUUUGAACCGCAUGGUUCAAAAGUGAAAGACGGUCUUGCUGUCACUUAUAGAUGGAUCCGCGCUGCAUUAGCUAGUUGGUAAGGUAACGGCUUACCAAGGCAACGAUGCAUAGCCGACCCGAGAGGGUGAUCGGCCACACUGGAACUGAGACACGGUCCAGGCUCCUACGGGAGGCAGCAGUAGGGAAUCUUCCGCAAUGGGCGAAAGCCUGACGGAGCAACGCCGCGUGAGUGAUGAAGGUCUUCGGAUCGUAAAACUCUGUUAUUAGGGAAGAACAUAUGUGUAAGUAACUGUGCACAUCUUGACGGUACCUAAUCAGAAAGCCACGGCUAACUACGUG
rnacentral:rRNA from 1 species